CCUACGGGAGGCAGCAGUAGGGAAUCUUCCACAAUGGACGAAAGUCUGAUGGAGCAACGCCGCGUGAGUGAAGAAGGGUUUCGGCUCGUAAAGCCCUGUUGGUAGUGAAGAAAGAUAGAGGGAGUAACUGGCCUUUAUUUGACGGUAAUUACUUAGAAAGUCACGGCUAACUACGUGCCAGCAGCCGCGGUAAUACGUAGGUGGCAAGCGUUGUCCGGAUUUAUUGGGCGUAAAGCGAGUGCAGGCGGUUUUAUAAGUCUGAUGUGAAAGCCUUCGGCUUCACCGGAGUAAUGCAUCAGAAACUG
rnacentral:rRNA from 1 species